GUCUUUUUGAAAUAAAUUUAAAGUCUGACCUGCCCACUGAUAAAUUUUAAAGGGCCGCGGUAUUUUGACCGUGCAAAGGUAGCAUAAUCAUUAGUUUUUUAAUUGGAAGCUUGUAUGAAUGGUUGGACGAAAUAUUUACUGUCUCAUAAAAAUUUGUAUUAGAAAUUAAUUUUUUUGUUAAAAAGCAAAAAUUAUAUUAAAGGACGAGAAGACCCUAUAGAGCUUUAUAAUUUUAUUAUUUAAUUUUUUAAGGAAAUUUAAAAUUUUAUAAAAAUAAUUAUUUUGUUGGGGUGACAAUAAAAUUUAUAAAACUUUUAUUAUAAGUGUUACAUUGAUUAAUGAAUAUUUGAUCCAUUAUUAAUGAUUAAAAAAUUAAGUUACCUUAGGGAUAACAGCGUAAUUUUUUUUAAGAGUUCAUAUCGACAAAAAAGAUUGCGACCUCGAUGUUGGAUUAAGAGUUAUUUUUAGGUGUAGAAGUUUAAAGUUUAGGUCUGUUCGACCUUUGAAUUCUU
rnacentral:rRNA from 1 species